rnacentral:rRNA from 1 species
GGGCUAGCGUUGUUCGGAAUUACUGGGCGUAAAGCGCACGUAGGCGGCUUUGUAAGUCAGAGGUGAAAGCCUGGAGCUCAACUCCAGAACUGCCUUUGAGACUGCAUCGCUUGAAUCCAGGAGAGGUCAGUGGAAUUCCGAGUGUAGAGGUGAAAUUCGUGGAUAUUCGGAAGAACACCAGUGGCGAAGGCGGCUGACUGGACUGGUAUUGACGCUGAGGUGCGAAAGCGUGGGGAGCAAAC